UUGGAAUAAUUAUGAUUUU
rnacentral:miRNA from 1 species